rnacentral:rRNA from 1 species
CCUACGGGAGGCAGCAGUGGGGAAUAUUGGACAAUGGGGGGAACCCUGAUCCAGCGACGCCGCGUGAGUGAAGAAGGAUCUCGGUAUGUAAAGCUUUAUCAGCAGGGAAGUAGAAAUGACGGUACCUGCGUAAGAAGACCCGGCUAACUACGUGCCAGCAGCCGCGGUAAUACGUAGGGGGCACGCGUUAUCCGGAAUUACUGGGUUUAACGGGAGCGUAGACGGUUAUGUAAGUCUGGAGUGAAAGGUGGGGGCUCAACCCCAGGACUGCUCUGGAAACUGGGGGACUGGAGUGCAGGAGAGGUAAGCGGAAUGCCUGGUGUAGCGGUGAAAUGCGUAGAUAUUAGGAGGAACACCAGUGGCGAAGGCAGCUCACUGGACUGUAACUGACGUUGAGGCUCGAAAGCGUGGGGAGCAAACAGGAUUAGAUACCCUUGUAGUC